rnacentral:rRNA from 1 species
UACGUAGGGGGCAAGCGUUGUCCGGAAUCAUUGGGCGUAAAGCGCGCGUAGGCGGCCCGGUAAGUCCGUUGUGAAAGUCAAAGGCUCAACCUUUGAACGCCGAUGGAUACUGCCGGGCUAGAGUCCGGAAGAGGCGAGUGGAAUUCCUGGUGUAGCGGUGGAAUGCGCAGAUAUCAGGAGGAACACCGGUGGCGAAGGCGGGACUCUGGGCCGAUACUGACGCUGAGGAGCGAAAGCGUGGGGAGCAAACAGG